UUACCUCUCAAUAGUGCUUAGACAAGAUAGCUUUUAAUUUUUUUGCUACAAUGAAAGUCUAAAAAUUGAAAAUUUGGUUUGUGACCCUUCCAAGUAGGCACAGGAAAAUCAAAUAUUUUUCUAAAAGUUAUUGGUUUCAAUGGGGAUCUUAACCUUAUGUACAUCAAGGUUAAUGAGGCUUUAAAAUAAGAAAGCUAUUAGUUGUUGAUGUUAAAGCCUCAGCCUUUCUAUCUUGAAGCAAUGUGAGACCAUAAGACUUAGGAGCAGAAAUUUGGCCAUUCGGCCCAUUGAGUCUGCUCCACCAUUCAGUCAUGGCUGAUACAUUUUCUCAAACCCAUUCUCCUAAUUUCUCCCCAUAACCUUUGAUCCUGUUGACAAUCAAGAAUUCAUCUACCUCUAUCUUAAAUAUACUCAAUCACCUGGCCUCCACAGCCUUCUGUGGUAAUGAAUUCAAGCAUUAUUAGUGUUUUAUCCCGUUGGUAAAAGGUUAGUGCUGCCAAUACAUUAAUGAAAUCUGUCAGUGGCUGCUGAAGAAUUUGUUGCUAACAUCAAUAAAGUUAUAACUUCACUGGCCUAGGAAUAUUUUGACAGAUAUUAUCUUAUUGUAAAAACGGCUGACAUUUCCAAGAUAUUAAAUAUCAAACUGUUAAAUUAUCUCCUUUCCUUGAACUUGCAUUGAUUUUUUUCAAACAUUACUUGGUAUCAUUUGAAAUAAACAUACUACUGUAUCACACUGACCUAUUGGAUGUCCAAUUUAUGGGGGAAUUUUGAAAUUACUGCCAUUUGGACUAACCACUCAAAGUCCAUACAAUCCCUUUGCACAGACACGAGCGCAGAUGUGUUCGUAUCAGAAUUGUAUUGUCAAACCUUUAUGAUAUGAGUUUCACAUGUUUAGCAACAACUGUAUGCUUUAUAUUUACUGUCCGAUUUCAUACUCUUUAACAUUCAUGUUCAACUUGUGUGAUUUCUAACUAUGUUCAAGUCAGACAGCUGAGUGAAUUUAGAGAUGGAAAAUAUAUUUUCAGGAGAUAAGGAUCAUGCCCAUGUUUCAAAAUUAUAAAUUGUAAGGAUUAAUACUAUUGUAUGUUAUUUUACUGCCAGAUUGUUUUUAAUAUUAGGAUUUCCGAAUUUGGUUACGAUCCUUAGAACUAAUUAUGAAAGGACAUUGGAGGUGUGCAUUCCACUGACUGACUCAUUCUGAGUUCAUUUUACACUUCUUUUAACCUGAAUCUCAGGAGAAAGAUUCUGAUUAGGAAUGUUAGACUUCAGAUUUCUAACAGAGUAAACUGUGAGAUGUGUUCAAAUCUGGUGUCAACCAUCCUCAUACCAAGCAAAUCCAAAGGGAAAGAUUUACCAACUGAAAGAUGAAUUUUAAUGCUUUUCAACCUCACUACGUCCUGAGUUGAUCAAAGUAGAAGAUUGACAGUAUCUGUUGAAAAUUAUUCAUGACUGGACUCCCUGCCCUCCAGGCUAAUGAAUACAACAGACAAGCAACAUCGUGAGCCUCCUACUUGUGGCAAAUGCAGCCUCCUGCAUUUAGAAACAAACUGUCUUUUUCAAAUGUUUUCAAUAUCACACCAUUCAUUAUAAAGACAUUCCUCUUUGACAAUCACGAUCAAUCAGAAUCAGAACUUCCAACAAAGGACAGGGAAAGCAUCCUUUGUGAAACAUGUUCUUCUUAAAUUUGUAUUUUUUUCUAAUCAACCUGUUUGGAGAUGCUGUUACACACUUCUGGAGCAGAUUGACUUGAACCCAGAUCUCCUGGCUCAGAGAUGGACACACCAGCACUGUGUCAUGAGACUCCUAACUAUAAAAGUUCAAGGAUCUUUAGAAGCCUCCAGUAGAAUCAAACAGGACCUUCCUAGAUGGGAGGCACUUCCGAUCUCUUGGUUAAGUCGGAUAAGCCUCAUUAAAAUGAACACUCUGCCCUGCCUACUGAAUCCUAUGUGAAUGCUUCCUCAGCUUUUGACUAAGCAAACAUUUAGAAGACUGAACGGCUGGUUCAUUUCCUUUAUCUGGUAUCGCAAGCGACCCCUAAUUAAACUGACUAAACUGCAGUUACUUACAGGCUGGGAGGAGUGGGCCUCCCAGAUAUCAAAAACUAUCAGUUAAGCUCACUGCUACCUUAUGCGAAUGACUGGGCCCGGGGACCCUCACUCACUUUGGUUGGACAUCAAAGCAUCUCAGGCAAGGUUGCCUCUUAUUAGCCUGCUGUUCUUAGACAAAAUGAGAACAGUUAAGGAAUAUUGCCAUAGCCCAAUAGUCAUUAAUAUUGUCAAGGCGUGGAGGGCAAUGCGUCAGAGUGAGGGCAAUAUUGCCAAAACAUAAUUUUUACACCCAUUGUUGGUAUGCAGGUUUUUCAACCAGGGAUGAUGGACUUGGGGUUUAAAUCAUGGGCAGCUAGGGGUGUGUCUUAUCUGGGUGUUUUAUUCAAAGGGGACAUACUGAUGUCCUUUGACCAGCUGGCUUGGAAAUAUGAGUUGCCUAGUAGGGAUCUCUUCUGUUUUUCCCAAAUUAGAAAUUUCAUACAAAAAGAGACCACGCUUCCAACUGACUCUUAUAGGUCCAACAUGGAGAAGAGGGUGCUGGGUGCUGAGGGUACACCUUCUGUUAGCAAUGUUCAUCACCUAUUGGGAGAAAGUCCCUCGGACGAGACUGAACAGCUCUGUAAGGCAUGGGAGAUGCAGCUGGACGUUGAGAUCUCUUCUGAAGUAUGGGAGCAUAUCUAGGAAAAUGGAAGAAGGAUCUCAAUUUGCCAGAGAACCCUUGCCUUAAAAAUGAAGAUUCUCCACAGGGUCUACUUGUCUCCAGACCGCCUCACAAAAUUUAAUGUGGGAGCAUCUCCAAUGUUUCCUAAAUGCAAAUGAGCAUGGGCACGCUUACCCAUUGUCUCUGGUCCUGCCACAGACUGCGGGCAUACUGGAACGCUGUGUAGAUAAAAUAGAGAAGGUCUUGGGGACAGAGGUGGAGAUGGACCAGGUAUCUCUUCUUGGCCUUAUAAAUUCACUUUCAUUAGAUGCACACAAAAAAAGGCUUUUGAAUAUCCUCACUUUUUGUGCACGUAAGAAUAUCUUGUUAGCGUGUGUGUCUGAUAAUCCCCCGAGGUUGUUGGGCUGGCGUCAGCUAGUCAUGGAGCACAUCACCUUAGACUUUCUUACGAGUAUGGUGUGCCAUAAAACUGAGAAUUUUUAUAAGACGUGGUGGUCCUUUUUGGACUACCUGGGCACUGAUUUGUCCGCCAUACUAAUAAGAGCCUUUAUAAAGCCAUAGCAAAUCUGUUUAAUGAAUCUGGUACCCAGAGAGGAGGAACUACAAACAUAUGAGUAUGUAUCAAUUUAUGCGCUCGAUGGUCAAGGUCUAUUGCUUUGUUUCGUUGAGCUGUGUUAUUAUUACUACUGUUAUGAUUUUCCUUUUCUUUAGUUAGUUAUUAGUUCUUAUUUAUCUGUGUAAUUACUGGGUUUAUUUUAACAUUGGUUUGAAUUGUUUGGUUUUGUAUAUGUUGUAAUAUUUUUAAAAAAUUAUCUUCCUUUUGUUUUCAAUAAAAAAUGUAUUUUAACAAAUAACAGAGACCAGUAUGCUUGCCAUCAGUUCAAUCCUCUGGUAUUCAGGAUCUUUUGCAAGUAUUGUGAGAACAUUACUGUAUUUCCACAGUUCAGAUUCUUAGACAGUUCUAAUGUUAGUGUUCAACAUUAAUUUAAUGCUAUUUUAGCAUUACUAGUAUCCCCUUAGUAACCCACACCACUCAAACGUAACUUAAACAAUCCAUUAUUAUAUUGCAAUCUAGGAUGUGAACAUCUUUUUCAUAUUCCACAUUGAGUUUAGUACUGUGAAUUAUUACAAUGAAAUAACUGAAUGGUACAAUCUAAAUAAAACCUGUUAUUGUUAAAUCUUUCCAUGUGGUACAUAUUUUUGAAGUUUAUAUCUUUUUCUCUUUCAAUGGACUGUACAUUUCAGUUGAACUGAAUGCAUUAAUUUACUACCUUGCAGUUUUAGUUAAAAUUACCUUCCCUUGCCUUCCCUUUGGACCUCCAUAUACUUCUAAGUUCUGUAACCUUCUAUUCUCCCAAGGCUGCCUUGGAGUACCUCCAGUUUGUAAUAUCCAUACAUGCAAGUCUUACACUUAAUGUACUAGUGCCAAAGCAAAAUGGGCAG